rnacentral:lncRNA from 1 species
GCGGUGAAGCUGGGAAAACAGCAGCUGGUUUGGGAGGGCAUUAAACCCUUAGGGAACGCUCAGCGCCUGCACACAUCCCGGCCAGAGAACCCGGUGCCCACUGUGGGGGUGGGACGUGGGGAGGGUUUGAAU